rnacentral:rRNA from 1 species
AGAGUUUGAUCCUGGCUCAGAACGUACGCUGGCGGCACGCCUUAUACAUGCAAGUCGAACGGAGUAGCAAUACUUAGUGGCAGACGGGUGAGUAACAUGUGGGUAUCUUCCCUUUGGUGGGGAAUAACACGAGGAAACUUGUGCUAAUACCUCAUAAGUCUUUACGGAGAAAGCUUUAUGCGCCAAUGGAUGAGCCCGCACUUGAUUAGUUUGUUGGUGGGGUAAUGGCCUACCAAGACUGUGAUCAAUAGCUGAUUUGAGAGGAUGAUCAGCCACAUUGGGACUGAGACACGGCCCAAACUCCUACGGGAGGCAGCAGUAGGGAAUCUUGCACAAUGGAGGAAACUCUGAUGCAGCGAUGCCGCGUGAGUGAAGAAGGCCUUUGGGUUGUAAAGCUCUUUCGUCGGGGAAGAAAAUGACUGUACCCGAAUAAGAAGGUCCGGCUAACUUCGUGCCAGCAGCCGCGGUAAUACGAAGGGACCUAGCGUAGUUCGGAAUUACUGGGCUUAAAGAGUUCGUAGGUGGUUAAAAAAGUUGGUGGUGAAAUCCCAGAGCUUAACUCUGGAACUGCCAUCAAAACUUUUUAGCUAGAGUAUGAUAGAGGAAAGCAGAAUUUCUAGUGUAGAGGUGAAAUUCGUAGAUAUUAGAAAGAAUACCGAUUGCGAAGGCAGCUUUCUGGAUCAUUACUGACGCUGAGGAACGAAAGCAUGGGUAGCGAAGAGGAUUAGAUACCCUCGUAGUCCAUGCCGUAAACGAUGUGUGUUAGAUGUUGGAAAUUUAUUUUCAGUAUCGCAGCGAAAGCAAUAAACACACCGCCUGGGGAGUACGACCGCAAGGUUAAAACUCAAAUGAAUUGACGGGGACCCGCACAAGUAGUGGAGCAUGUGGUUUAAUUCGAAGAUACGCGCAGAACCUUACCAACACUUGACAUGUUCGUCGCGACUCUAAGAGAUUAGAGUUUUCGGUUCGGCCGGACGAAACACAGGUGCUGCAUGGCUGUCGUCAGCUCGUGUCGUGAGAUGUUGGGUUAAGUCCCGCAACGAGCGCAACCCUUACUUUUAGUUGCCAUCAUUUAGUUGGGCACUCUGAAAGAACUGCCAGUGAUAAGCUGGAGGAAGGUGGGGAUGACGUCAAGUCCUCAUGGCCCUUAUGUGUUGGGCUACACACGUGCUACAAUGGUAUCUACAACAGGAAGCAAGAUGGCAACAUUAAGCAAAUCCCAAAAAGAUACCUCAGUUCGGAUUGCACUCUGCAACUCGAGUGCAUGAAGCUGGAAUUACUAGUAAUCGUGGAUCAGCGUGCCACGGUGAAUACGUUCCCGGGUCUUGUACACACCGCCCGU